UAUCUACAAGAUGUGAAUGUAUAAAAUUUAUGAAAUGUAUUCACCCAAGGAAAUUUCAGAACAUUGAGGUUUCAACACAAACAUCAUCUUGUGACAAGUUAGAAAUUAUAGUAACAGUGAAUUCCAAGCGAAUAUGCAUGGACCCUAAUGCUGAAGAAGGGAAAGCUAUAAUUUCUUGCUGGAAAAGGAAUGAACGCAACAUAAAAAAGGUGAAGACAUGCAUAAGGAGAAAAUUGAGAAAUGGAAAGGAAAAAAAGAAAAAAGCCAGAAGAUAAA